ACGAACGCUGGCGGCGUGCUUAACACAUGCAAGUCGAACGGUGAAGCGCCUUCCUUUUUGGUGGGUGUGGAUGAGUGGCGAACGGGUGAGUAACACGUGAGUAACCUGCCCCCUUCUUCUGGAUAACCGCAUGAAAGUGUGGCUAAUACGGGAUAUUCUGGGUCUGUCGCAUGAUGGGUCUGGGAAAGAUAUUGUUUCGGUGGGGGAUGGGCUCGCGGCCUAUCAGCUUGUUGGUGGGGUGAUGGCCUACCAAGGCGGUGACGGGUAGCCGGCCUGAGAGGGUGGCCGGCCACACUGGGACUGAGACACGGCCCAGACUCCUACGGGAGGCAGCAGUGGGGAAUAUUGCACAAUGGGCGCAAGCCUGAUGCAGCGACGCCGCGGGAGGGAUGGAGGCCUGCGGGUUGUGAACCUCUUUCGCCAGUGAAGCAGGCCUGCCUCGUUUGUGGGUGGGUUGACGGUAGCUGGAUAAGAAGCGCCGGCUAACUACGUG
rnacentral:rRNA from 1 species